GAUGAACGCUGGCGGCGUGCCUAAUACAUGCAAGUCGAGCGAACAGACCAGGAGCUUGCUCCUCUGACGUUAGCGGCGGACGGGUGAGUAACACGUGGAUAACCUACCUAUAAGACUGGGAUAACUUCGGGACACCGGAGCUAAUACCGGAUAAGAUCUUGAACCGCAUGGUUCAAUAGUGAAAGACGGUGUUUCUGUCACUUAUAGAUGGUUCCGGGCCGCAUUAGCUAGUUGUUAAGGUAACGGGUUACCAAGGCAACGAUGCGUAGCCGACGUGAGAGGGGGAUAGGCCACACUGGAACUGAGACAGGGUCCAGGCUCCUGCGGGAGGGAGCAGUAGCGUAUGGGACGCAAUAGGCGGAAGCCUGACGCAGCAGCGGCGCGUCAGUGACGAAGGUGUCGGGAUCGGGAUACUCUCCUACUAGUGAAGAACAAAUGUGUAAGUAGCUGUGCAGGUCGUGACGGUACUUGAUCAAAAAGCCCCGGCUAACUACGUG
rnacentral:rRNA from 1 species